AUUGAACGCUGGCGGCAGGCCUAACACAUGCAAGUCGAGCGGAGCGGCGGACGGGUGAGUAAUGCCUAGGAAUCUGCCUGGUAGUGGGGGAUAACGUCCGGAAACGGGCGCUAAUACCGCAUACUAUCAGAUGAGCCUAGGUCGUAUUAGCUAGGUGGUGGGGUAAAGGCCUAACAAGGCGACGAUCCGGAGCUGGUCUGAGAGGAUGAUCAGUCACACUGGAACUGACACACGGUCCAGACGCCUAAGUGAGGCAGAGGUGGGGAAUAUUGGACAAUGGGCGAUAGCCUGAUCCAGCCAGGCCGCGGGUGUGAAGAAGGUCUUCGGAUUGUAAAGCACUUCAAGUUGGGAGGCGUUACCAACAGAAUAAGCACCUGCUAACUUCGUGCCAGCAGCCGCGGUAAUUC
rnacentral:rRNA from 1 species